ensembl:snRNA U6 U6 spliceosomal RNA
AUAUAUAUAUAUAUAUAUAUAUAAUGAAAUUGGAAUGAUAUAAACAUUAGCAUAGCUUUUGAGCAAGGAUGGAAAGCAAAUUCAUGAAGUACUACAUAUAUUU